GGUCUAAUAGUGUAGUGGUUAGCACAUGGGAUUUUGAUAACUCACCAAUAUACUCAUUCCCAUAACCCAGGUUCGAGUCCUGGUUAGACCU